UUUUAUGUUGAAUUAAUAAGUAUAACUUUUUGUUUAUAGUUGAAUUUUGUUUACCAGAUCUUAUUAAUUUGGGAAAUUCAAAAGGUUUUAUAAGAGAAAAUUCACUUGACUUUUUAUAUCUCUAUGAGAAACGCAGUGCUGUGUUUGAUAGAACGGGUGAACUUUUGUUUAUAAUUAUCUAUCUGAUUUAAUUAGUUAUUUUACACAACAUAUUUCAAGGAAUUUCUUGGAUUUACAAUGAAUCUCGAGAUAUACACUUUUGAAUCUCUUUAUUUUUUACCGAAUUAUCGAUCUUUUCGAACUCUUCAGUGCAUGAAGAGUAAAAAAGUCAUUAUUUACAUGGAGGAAAAAUGGCAGCGAUGUCGUCGGGUAUGUGUGAUUUUGGUGAAGAUUGUGAAGAAACGGCGAUAUAUUAUUUGAACGGCAGUGUUAAACAAACCUUUCACCACCUCAAAUAUUUGGACUCUUAACUCUAAGGGUAUAGAUCUGCCCGAAAGUUAUUUAAUUCUAUCCAGAGCGGGUAUCGAUGUAAUCACAUUAGCACAGCUAAACAAGAAUCAGAUGCGCGCUUGGUCUGUACUGGAAACGGAGCGAGAGAUGUUGUGUACAUCCCUUUCAUGGUUUAUCUAAAACGAAACAAGACUAAGGCAUCACACCAGUUUUGAGCCGGGAUUUUUGGUUGCGUCUACAGCUAUCAGUCCCAAUAGAUGAAGACAUAGUUGAGCAGCUGACCUAUUCAACCAUUGCCUCAAUACCUCCACUUAAUCUUAGAGAUUGCACUGAAGUCAACGAUGUUAACAACAAUGCUAAUCCUGCUGAAGAAACUUCAGGCAGCAGAAGUUUGACAGUGUCCAAGCAAUAGCCAAUGAACUUACAGAAUAAAUGGCUGUGACUGAAACUCAUUAAGUUCAAUGUUUUUGUACCGUAGUUUUACUUAUAUUGUUUAUAUAAAUAAUACACGUACUCAGAUGUGUAUCCCUCAUAUAAUUACAUUUAAUCCAUUGACAUUUAUUAAAGUGGGAAUUGAUCAACUUCGAGGGUUUCAACAAACUAUAUCAUUUUGUUGAGAUGUUAUUUCAUUGAUAUACUGUAGUGUAUUUUUCAAUAGAACAUUAUAGAAUGAAAGUACAUCUUUUUGGAAUUUUUUUUUUAUUUGUUCUCAAACAUGGUAAAUGUACUGGGGUAAAAUAAUUUUUCAGAAUGUUAAUGUAGAAUUUUGAAUGUUUUUUUUUUCUUUUU